rnacentral:rRNA from 1 species
AUGGAGCCUAAUCGUGCACCUGGCCCUGAUAGUGUGCCUGCUGAAUUCUACCAGCACUACUGGGAUGUUGUUUGCAUGGAUCUCUUUAGACUUUUUGAGUGGUUUCAUGAAGGCAAGCUAGAUGUGCAGCGUUUGAAUUAUGGCAUUAUCACCCUUUUGCCCAAAACCUCUGAGGCCAAUAGAAUACAACAAUACAGACCUAUUUGCUUAUUGCGCUGUCCUUAUAAGCUGAUCACCAAGGUCAUGGAUAGGAGAGCAAGUGUAUAUGCCUCCAAGCUGUUUAGUAUUCAACAGAACGCCUUCAUAAAGGAGAGCGACGUUAUGGAUGGGGUCCUAUCAUUACAUGAAGUCAUUCAUUAUACUCAUGUGAAAAAGAGGACGGGAAUUGUUCUUAAGCUUGACUUUGAAAAGGCCUACGACAAGGUCAAUUGGGAUUUCCUUCUUGAUUGUCAUAAUAAGAGAGGUUUUAAUUCUAAGUGGUGUGGGUGGGUGUCUCAGAUUCUUCGCGAUGGCAUGGUUAGUGUCAAGAUUAAUGAUGAACUUGGGCCUUACAUUAAAAGUGCCAAAGGGGUGCGUCAGGGUGACCCUCAUUCCCCUUUUCUGUUCAAUAUGGCCGCUAAGUGUUUGACCAAGAUGGUCCUGGCUGCCCAAAAAAAAUAA